GAUGAACGCUGACAGCAUGCUUAACACAUGCAAGUCAACUGUGGCGGACGGGUGAGUAACGCGUAAAGAACUUGCCUCACAGUUAGGAACCACAUUUGGAAACGAAUGCUAAUACCUGAUACUGUGAGAGAGCUUUGCGUCCCAUUAGCUAGUUGGAGAGGUAACGGCUCACCAAGGAGAUGAUGGGUAGCCGGCCUGAGAGGGUGAUCGGCCACAAGGGGACUGAGACACGGCCCUGAGUACGACGGGAGGAAGGAGUGGGGAAUAUUGGACAAUGGCCCAAAGUCUGAUCCAGCAAUUCUGUGUGAACGAUGAAGUUUUCGGAAUGUAAAGUGCUUUCAUUUGGGAAGCGGUACCAACAGAAGAAGUGACGGCUAAAUACGUGCCAGCAGCCGCGGUAAUUC
rnacentral:rRNA from 1 species